rnacentral:rRNA from 1 species
UUGAUUUUGGUUUUGGUUGUGUUAAAAUAGUAUUACUUAAUUUUAGUUUAUUAGGGGACAUAUAAAAUUUUAUGUUGGUAAUUUGUUAUUUGUUAAAUUUAUGUUCCAGAAUAAUCGGCUAUACGUAAUAAAUUUAAACUUUAAUUAUUUUUGAAAUUAAUUUUUUGAUUUUUUUGUUUUUUAAUGUAUUGUUAAAUAUUUGUUAUAUUUUUUUGUAUGAUUAAUUUUAGUAGAUUUUUUUAUGAAUUGGAUUAGUACCCAAGUAAGUGAAAUAUAUGAGUGCGGGAGUAAAGUUAAGUUUAAACCGUAAAAAUAUUGACUGAUCUUAGAAAGAUUUUUGGAACAUGCAUGUAAUGGGAGAGCCCUCUUUGUUGGUCUAAAUUUUUGGUUUAUGUAUGAUUGUCUAUUAUAAAUAUUAAUUGUUGUUAAUAAAAUUUAUUUUUUUUUUAAGAUAGAUAUAUAUUUAAUUUAUGUUUAGGUAAUUGUGUGUUACGAUAUUAAAAUAAUUCGGAUUUAGUUUUGAAACGAUUAAUGAAGUUGGAAAAAAAAGUAAAUGUAUUUUUUAUGUUGUAU